CAGCAGCCGCGGUAAUACGUAGGGUGCAAGCGUUAAUCGGAAUUACUGGGCGUAAAGCGUGCGCAGGCGGUUAUAUAAGUCAGAUGUGAAAUCCCCGGGCUCAACCUGGGAACUGCAUUUGAGACUGUAUGGCUAGAGUGUGUCAGAGGGGGGUAGAAUUCCACGUGUAGCAGUGAAAUGCGUAGAUAUGUGGAGGAAUACCGGUGGCGAAGGCAGCCCCCUGGGAUAACACUGACGCUCAUGCACGAAAGCGUGGGGAGCAAACAGGAUUAGAUACCCGCGUAGUCCCUGUCUCUUAUAC
rnacentral:rRNA from 1 species